rnacentral:rRNA from 1 species
UACGUAGGGGGCAAGCGUUGUCCGGAAUCAUUGGGCGUAAAGAGCGUGUAGGCGGUUUGUCGCGUCUGCCGUGAAAGUCCGGGGCUCAACUCCGGAUCUGCGGUGGGUACGGGCAGACUAGAGUGAUGUAGGGGAGACUGGAAUUCCUGGUGUAGCGGUGAAAUGCGCAGAUAUCAGGAGGAACACCGAUGGCGAAGGCAGGUCUCUGGGCAUUAACUGACGCUGAGGAGCGAAAGCAUGGGGAGCGAACGG